AGAGGUAGAUGUGGGGAGAGAGAAUGCAAGCAACUUGAGAGGAAUUAGAGAGUAGAGAGAAGAUUGGGAGUAGAGAGAAAAAAAAUAUAUAUUAGUUUCUCCUAAGUAUUACCUCCUUGUAUUCUCAUAUUACAAGAGAGAUUAAUUAUUGUUAUCUCCUUAUAUUUAGAGAGUGUUGUAAUUCUCCUACUAUAGUGAAAUCCUCCUAUACUUGCCCGUGGACGUAGCCUAAAUUGGGUGAAUCACGUAAAUACUUGUGUCCAUUUUCAGCUGCAGUUUCUCAAUUCCAUUUUGUUGUAAAGCCAAAGUCGACCCACGUUAUUUCUAACAUAACACGCUUUCACAAGUGAAUCAGCCAUGAUUUCUAUUCGAAGGAAGGAUACUUUGUCAAUCUAUCAGACGUACAGCAUCAUGCUUAACAGAAAAAUGUUUCAUUUGCAAAGAUACAACAUCCCGGACAAAGAAAAUUAUCAUCAAACCUAUUAUGGAAACCCCAAGAAAAAUCUUCUUUAUAAAGCUCAUGAUAGAAUCAUGAGGCAUGAAUACCCAAUCAAAAUAAAACAAGCAUACUUACAAUAGAAAUAGCACAUGAAAACAACAUUCUUAAAAGCACCUGUAGGGGAUAUAUCGGUGAGUUUCAAUAAUCGGCGAGUUGCACUCUCUCCUACAAAAUGAAGAAGAAAUAUCUCUAGGAACUGAAAUCCAUGAACCAUAAUGGCCUACAGAUAAUAGUUUGUCAACCAUCAGCUAGAACCGUGAACUCUAUAAGUCCAUAAUAUAGGCCACAGAUAGCUCAACACUACCUGUAGAGUCUCAAACGCAAUGCUUGAAGGCUGAAAAAACAAGAAGAAAAACAUUGAUGAACUUAUCGUUCCAUAUGUUGUCAUACGUAUACUUAUCCUACAAUGGCACGUCAAAAAUUAUGUCAGAAACUUCUGAUGAUAAUAACAUUUAGCAAUAAAGAGUUCCAUGAAUAUUAACUCAGAAAAUGUUAAUAAAUAUUGCACGAGGGAAAAAUCUUGAUAUUGGUAUAGAACAAUCUUAUAACUCAAUAACUUCAUCCCAUUAGUCAAAAUUGUAAAAAAAAAAAUAUUUGCAGGGUGUCUUGCAUACUAAAUACGUGUGCUUGAGAUUACUGAUUGACGUACCCAACUAUGAUAUCAAUGUGCAUAUUUUUUCCUGGUUCUCUUUCAUACAUAGCUGUAUAACACGGCUCCACUAAACCAACUCAUCAUAAAAAGCAACCUUCAGUCUGAAAAUAUAGGGCACAACCUCUCUUGAGUAGAAUUCUAUUAUACACAGAUCUGAAAAUAGUACAUCAAGAAUAUACCAUUUACAUGAAUCCCCUAAGACCACAGCAUCAAGUGAAAAUCCUUUAAGGCUCAGACCAAAGACCCCAUAACAAACAUUACAGAGACACCAAAUCUUAACCGCGAGCCCUCACAGUCCCAAAUCUACAAAGUUACUUCAACAGGACACAGAAUGAACAAAACCCCUUCGAUACAAAGAUUUCACACAGAGAAGAAUCACCCAAGGAAUGAAGAUCACAGGGAUGAUUCUUCAGAAUCUCACACAGAGAGAUCGAAGAAGAACAAAACUGAAAAACCCUAGUGAAGGUUCCAGAACACGGCUCACAGAAGAGAGAAAAAUGAAAAACGACUGCCAACCCUAAAAAUGAGAAAGGGAUAUAUUUAUAGUAGAAAACAUCAGCAAUCAGAUUAAUGGGUUGAUCCAACGGUCCCAGAGCAACUACGAGAAUGGGCCGGGUAUUGGGCUCGGUUAAGCGGGUCGUCUAAGUUUAAAAGAGUGGAUCAAUCUGCUCUUUAUCUAUUGGGCCUGGAAUUUAUCAUCAUUGCCUACAAUUGGACUGAUCAUGUUGGCAUCACAGCCCAACAGAUCUCCACCUUGAUGCCAAUGGUCAUACAAGAAGUCUAAUGAAAGUAAAACACAAGUUAUAUCUCUCCAAAAAUGCAGCUUCCCAGUACUUCCAAUAAGCAUCAAUUUCAGCACCUGUACAGAACCAAAAAUAUCUAACCAGCAUCAAUGUUCAAAAUUUGUAAACAAGACUUAGGGCCCGUUUGGCACGACUUUUACUUUGGCUUUUGCUUCUUGUAGAAGAGCUUUUGGAGAAAGCUAUUUUAAUUUUUGUUUGAAAAUUAAUAUUUAAAAUCACUUCCCAUUCCGGAAGUGCUUUUGGAGAAAGCCAAAAAAACCAGCUUCCUCUAAAAGCUCUUCUAACCUCCAAAAGCACUUUAAACAAAAAUAGCCAAACGGUCCAAAAGAGGCUUUUGGCUCUCAAAAGCUCCUUUUGGCUUUUCAAAAGCCAUCCCAAACGGGCCCUUAAACUUGUUUAAUGGUAUUACCUUAGUCCCUACAUCAGCUGGAUUAAACUGAGUUGCAAUUUUCUCAAGUAAAAUAAGUUCUUUUGAAACAAUAUCUCUAAUAAAAUGCAACUUAACAUCAAUAUGUUUGGUUCUUUCAUGAAAAACAGGGUUUUUACAUAGGUGAAUUGCACUUUGACUAUCUGAAUAUAAGACAACAGGGUUACUUAAUUCAUCUAUUUUAGAUAACAAGCCCUUAAGCCAUAAGGCUUCUUUUAUUGCUUCAGUUACAGCAACAUACUCGACUUCAGUAGUAGAUAAAGCAACAAUAGGUUAAAGUUGAGAUUUCCAACUAAUACAUGUAUUAUACAAAGUAAGCAUAUAAGAAAUAGUAGAUUUCCUAUUGUCUCUAUCUCCGGCAAAAUCUGAAUCUACAAAACCCUUAAGUACAACACCUUCAUUACAGGCACUAAAAAUCAAUCCAACAUGUGAAGAUCCUUUCAAGUAUCUCAACAGCCAUUUUAGAGCAACCCAAUGGUCAGGUCCUGGAUUUGCCAUAAAUCUACUAAGUGUGCUAAUGGAAUGAGCUACAUCAGGCCUAGUACAUACCAUAGUGUACAUAACAGAACCUACGGCAUUAGCAUAGGGUACAUUUUCCAUUUGUCUAAUGUCAGAUUCAUUUACAGGACAUUGCUCCUUACUGAGUUUAAAAUGGCUGGCCAAUGGAAGUGAAACUGAUUUAGAGUUAUGCAUGGCAAACUUAAUCAACAUUUUUUCANAAAAGUGACUUUAAGUGGGAGAAAUGUUGAAUAUUAAAGCCACAAUUGUUGACUCCAAUAAAAAUUGUUGAAACUUCAUGAAGAAGUUUUCAAGUUGCAAGUGACCAACUUGAAUUUGAAUUCCUUUCCACCAAUCACAACUUGGAAGUGGCAAAAUUGAAGUGAAACUCUCUUAGCCACCAUAUUUGACUAUUUAAGAAGAAAAUUCAUUUUGAAAUUCUUCUUGUUUUCAUGUAGAUACUUCCAUUAAGGAGGUUAACAAUUUCUAUAAAUAGAGGUAGAUGUGGGGAGAGAGAAGCCAAGCAACCUGAGAGGAAUUAGAGAGUAGAGAGAAGAUUGGGAGUAGAAAGAAAAAUUAUUAGUUUCUCCUAAGUAUUACCUCCUUGUAUUCUCAUAUUACAAGAGAGAUUAAUUGUUGUUAUCUCCUUGUAUUUAGAGAGUGUUGUAAUUCUCCUACUAUAGUGAAAUCCUCCUAUACUUGCCCGUGGACGUAGCCUAAAUUGGGUGAACCACGUAAAUACUUGUGUCCAUUUUCAGCUGCGGUUUCUCAAUUCCAUUUUGUUGUAAAGCCAAAGUCGACCCACGUUAUUUCUAACAAGAACAAGCACUAAGAUCUAGUGUUGCUCAUGUUAUAAAUUUGGAUUUACCAAAAUGAGUUCAAUAUACAGCUUUAGUCGCUGAACUUGAUGCAAUCAAAUAAAAACUAUAACUGAACACCAACAGCAAUUUGAAGAAACUAGAGAAAAUUUUUGAGUAAGAAAAAAUUUACUAAAGAUAGGGAGGCUAGGAAGAAGCAAAUCAAGAAAUGCAUCUUGAGUGCAUUCAGGGGUGAAAUACUACAGACUCUUUUUCAUUAACUACACAGUCGCUCUGUGAUUCAAUUGAUUCUUGGUUCUCCUUGACACGAUCUUGUUGGAAUUUACUAUAACCAGACCAUUGGUAUCAAAGUAAAAGGCGUGUAGUAGUAGGAACUUACUCACAAUCUGUCAUACAAUUAAACCACAUUAACAAGAAUGGAUGCAAACCGUCAAAUAGUCAAAUAGAGAACAACAAACUGUGGCCAAACUUUAAAUAUAUAUAUUUGCUACUAUAGUAUAGAUGUUGGGAAUUAAUUAGCUAUCAAAUGAUUCAACCCUACUCAACCAAUCAACCAAGUAUCCAAGUCGAGAACUCAAGCAGAAUCAAACUAUAUCAAUCUGGUUGAACAAUUAAAUCAUGUUACGAAGGUCAUUCAAAUGAGACACGGGAUUCUGUGAAUUUCUGUGAAUUAAUCUAAGUGUUGGGAGGAAGAGUACAAUUACAAUUCCCAAAAGAAACCAUGUAAAUAAAUAUUUUUCAGAUUUGUAAAACCCAUAAAUGUCAUAUGAAUAGCAACUUCAAAAUUUUCAGAUACGGGAAUAGCAACUGCAAAACCCAAAAUAGCAGCUACAAAACCCAUAAGUGUCAGAUGAAUAGCAACUACAAAGCCCAAUAAAACCCAUAAGCUUGAAAUUUAUCCUCGUGUUGUAAACGGAAUGGGAGCUGCUUCUUCAUGCUUGCGCAGGCUGUUUGAGUACUUAGCAAUGGGGUCAAGGACCUUGAUUUCGAGCUCAGGGUUUAGAUUUGGGGGAUUUAGGGUUUCAAUUUCGAUUAGGGUUCAUUUUCUUCCCUGAAAGUUAGCAAUUUCGGUGAGUGAAAUUUUAUGGAGGAAGCCUGUUCAAGGAAAGGCGUGUAAUAGAGUUGGG
rnacentral:lncRNA from 1 species